rnacentral:rRNA from 1 species
GAUGAACGCUAGCUACAGGCUUAACACAUGCAAGUCGAGGGGUAACGAGAGGAAAGCUUGCUUUCCUUGUCGACGACCGGCGCACGGGUGAGUAACGCGUAUCCAACCUGCCCCCAACUAGGGAAUAACCUUGCGAAAGUAAGACUAAUACCCUAUAAUUUCCUCAGAUGUCAUCUGACGAGGAAUAAAGAUUUAUCGGUUGUGGAUGGGGAUGCGUCUGAUUAGCUUGUUGGCGGGGUAACGGCCCACCAAGGCAAAGAUCAGUAGGGGUUCUGAGAUGAAGGUCCCCCACAUUGGAACUGAGACACGGUACAAACUCCUACGGGAGGAAGCAGUGAGGAAUAUUGGUCAAUGGGCGGAAGCCUGAACCAGCCAAGUAGCGUGCAGGAUGACGGCCCUAUGGGUUGUAAACUGCUUUUAUACAGGAAUAAAGUUAGCCACGUGUGGUUAUUUGUAGGUACUGUAUGAAUAAGGACCGGCUAAUUCCGUGCCAGCAGCCGCAGUAA